rnacentral:lncRNA from 10 species
AGUUCUCAACUUGCUCCUUGGCUGUUCUCCUGACACUUAAGUCAGAGCAUUCUGUAGCUGUAUUUUACAGAACUGUAAUUGCACAGAUUGUUCCUCUUACAAGAGAAAUAUCCAGAGCUCUAAGAAAACAACUGAUGAAAACGACAUGCGUGACAUUUGGUGCUGAAGACCCAGGUCAGAGAGACUCCUUUGGGGGACCAGUCCGCUGUCCUUGCCCUCACUCUGUGAGGAGACCCACCUACGACCUCGGGUCCUCAGACCAACCAGCUCAAGGAACAUCUCACCAAUUUCAAAUCGGGACCCCACUGGAAAAUGGACUGUCCAACUCACCCGGCAGCCACUCCCAGAGCCCCUGGAACUCUGGCCCAAGGCUCUCUGACUGACUCCUUCCCAGAUCUUCUCGGCUCAGCAGCUGAAGACUGACACUGCUUGAUUGCCUGGGAAGCCUAUAGGACCAUCACAGACACUUUGGAUAACUCUUACAGUGAAGGACAAAAAAGCGCCACUGCAGGGAGGAAUGCCAGGGUCCCAUAGAGGGAGACCGACAGUGAAGUGGAGCCUGCCAUGAAUUCACCAAAGGCCAUUCUCCCUUUCUUCCAGAAGAACAGCAUUUAGCUGGGCCUAUGGCUACCUACCUAAAGACUGCACCUCUUAGUCACCCUUGUGGCCAGGUGUGGCCACGUGACAGUGGAAUGUAAGUGGAAGUGAUGUAUGCACUUGGGUUCAUUGGUUUAAAAAAAAAUAUGACCGCCCUCCAUUUCCACUCUUUGUCUUAUCUGUGAAUGGGAACAUGGCUGUGUCUGCAGCCCGACUUUGUGCAGCAAAGGACAAGGCCCUAGGGGAAGGUGGAGAAACAAGAUGGAACAACUUGGACCCAACAACUUGGAUCCCUAUGUGGCCAUGUGGAGUCAUCUCACCCACCUGGGCCACUCACCCCGAAGACUGUUGUGUGAGGGUGAAAUAAACUUCUGUAUCACUAGCCCCUGCAUUUCAGAAAUUCUUUGUUAUGGCAGUUUUGCCUUUAUCCUAACACAGACAGCAAAGUAUCUUCUGUGGCCCCAUGACUAAUUUCGUUGUUUAAACUCAUUAUAAAAACUAUAUAAAUAAAAUAUUAAAAAUCAAAUAAAAUAGCAAGAUAACACUGUGUAA